CGUAGAAAAAACUACUAUAUAUAUGUAUAUAUAUAUACUAGUGGUAUCAAUAAAAAAAAUUGUUACCACUAGCUCGAUGGCAAGAGACCUUGGAAAAAGCGUGCAGUCUCCAAGUCCGCUCGAAAGCUCUCAACUUUGGUCUCGAUCGAGUAAUUGGAGCCUUCGUGGAUCCAACUCGAAGGCCGACAACCCCUGUGCUUACGAAUGGCUGGGCCAGCCGAACGUUGAGAAGGAAAGAGGUGACGAGGACAGUGCGCGACCUCGAGACCGAUGGCCAGGUCUGGUCGGAUAGAAGGUUGCAGAUCCCCGAAGCGGAAGCGAAUACACGCUAGAUAGACACACGAGUAGAUGACGACGUGGAGGAAGAUGACGGCUAGCAGUGCCGUGUAGCAUGGCUGGGAGAACCCAGGGUAUAUGUACGGCGUAUUAAUAGCCAAGUAUAGAGCAGUGGUGGGGCCGCGGUUGCUCGCGGGUGAAAAUAGAAAAGAAUGUUUUUGGAAUCCAAUUGGACUUGGUUGGCAGAACGAUGGGGCAAUAUGGCCGACUUGGCCGAGCGGGUGGACGAUCUGAUAUGCAGUUUCGACUCGACUGGUGAAACGACCAUGGAUACGCUGUCGAUGCUGAUAUUCGGCUGGAUGUUGUUUGGUCUGGUGGUGUUGUGCGUUGGCAAAUACGUGUACAAUCGUUUUGUGCUGAACGACCUCACCGCCGCUACCACCGCCGCCACCGCUUCAUCAUUAUCGUCGUCGUCGUCGACGUCGUCGUCGCAGCUUGGCAAGGAUGGCCAUGUCCGUCACGACGAGAGUGUCGUGACGACGGGUACCGCUGGUACCAUCGUUGGAAAACUAUUCGACAAGUCGAAAUCGGUGUCACCGUCCUCGUCAUCGCUCGCGAGGGCUGGUACCGGUGGUGCAGGUGGCGGUGGUACCGUUAGUGGCGGCGGUACCGUUGGUGCUUCUGCUGGUGGUAGUAGUGGUGGCGGUGGCGGUGGUGGUGGUGGUGGUGCCGGUGCCGGUACCGCUACCGGUAUCGGUACGGUAGCAGGUGCGAGAGCACCAUCGCCGGGAGGCUACGUGCCGCCCACGCCGCCGAUCAGGAAACGUCUCACCCGGAAGACCUCCGGUGCUCUCAUCAGCCCGUCCCGAAGUUCCAGGGCGCUGCAUCUGCCGACCGCGACCGGCGCGGACGUCGAGGCCGUGCGUUGGGUCAACGAACUGAUCGUGUGGCUUCACUACGACCUCGUCAUCCUCAACGAACUCUUGGCCACUUGGGUGGUUUCCCUUAACCAUUUCACCGCCGGCUCUACCGACGAGCACGGAGUUGGCGUCGAAUUCGUUCGCGUACUUCCAGAGACUUAUCCGCCAACCUUGUCAAAUAUCUUCUGUGAAUGCGAUUCGAAGGACGAUGUGACUAUCACAUGCGACUGCGAGGCUACUCCAGCUUUGCAACUGAAAGCAUUUCGGCAACGAGGGGAUAAGGUAGAAGUUAAUCACUAUCGGGUCAAUGUCAAUCGUUUCCGUGCUCGCCUCAACGUCGUCUGCAUCACCGAGAAGCUGCAAAUCGAUCUGAAAUGCGACGGUUGGCCAGAGGUAAAGAUUUCUCUGGCAGCGGUAGGCACAAUAAAGAAAGACUUGGAUGAAAGCCAGUUGCAAGAAGUGGUGUCGGAAAUUGUGGUGGGUGCCCUGCGAGGCACCAACGUUCACCUCAAUCUUUCUCAAUAUCCCACGUGUCCUCGAUUAUGGAGAGAGCCGCCUCCUCAGCCAGGCUUCUCAUAUCCUAUACAUUACGACAGUGUAAACGCAUCGAAUUCGAUGAUACCGCAACCACCGCAUCAACGCCUUCAAGGACAUACCGCACCCUCGCCUACAUCAAUUCAAUAUGUGCCUGGCGAGAGACGUUUGCUCGUCAAAGUUGUGAGGGCUAUCGACCUCGGCGGCCAACAAGGAGCCAAGGAGCCUUAUUGCGUUGUGGAGUUGGAUGAACCGCCGCAAAAGAAUCAAACCUCUAUAAAGAGAGAUACCAAAAAUCCACUAUGGGAUGAGGCGUUUUUAUUCGAUAUAAGCCACAAUACGACCGAAGUGUUAUUAGAAGUGUUUGACCGUGUCAACAAAAGUCAACGAUUUUUGGGGCUAGGAAUCGUAGGUGUCGAGGAACUCCUCGCUAAUCCGAGCCAGCGGCAGAUCAUACCUCUUCAGGCGCGACCAUACGAGGAAGAUGACAUUACAGGCACCCUCACGGUGGAGUUUUUGUUCAUCGAGGGUGCGGAGGUACCACAAAUUGGGACCAAGCCUUAUAAAGUCAAGGAGGCGAUAAAGCCAGUCUCGCCGACCCGUUCCUACAGCCAAACAAAUGUCAUCACCAGCAAUAAUCUCAACUACAACAACGGUAACAGUACACUUAUCUUGUACGACUCUGCCGCACAGUCGGAAGGGGACUAUUUAACGAAUGGCAACGUUGUGGACUCACCAUAUAAAAGUGGGCAAACGAAUGGUAACAAGGGGACCUUGAUCGUACACAGUCAGCAAAGGCAACCAGAGCGGCAGAUUGUGAAGGUCACUCUGACGGAGAAUGGAAACUGGCAAGAGAUAUCCCUGGAGCACGGAACAAAAGAUGUCAAUGCUGUCUCGGGACCAGAAAGCACGCCUAAUUCCUCCAAUUCAGAAGAGAGAGGAAGGACACGAAGGAAACGACGUGAUUUCUUUGGUACCAUAAAGAAACGAUUGAGUCGAUCCAAAACGAGGAGUAAAUCAGUGGGUCCUGAGGGAGAGUUCAAUCAUGAAGACGCUCAUUCGAGAUCUAUAUCCGCCGACAGGGCUCGUGAUCCUGGAUCUGCUCAUCUGUCAGUACCAGAACAAUCGAGACGAUCGAGUCUGAGCGAAGCCUCGGGUGUAAGCGGAACAUCCACGAGAACGUACGUCAAUGAAGCUUCCACGCUCGUUCUUGAAACUUUGGAGAACGGUAUAAAGAAACACUACCUCGUACCACUUUCCCUCGCACAGAAAAGUAAAUGGAGGAAAAAGGGGACAAAGCUGCACAUAUUUAACGAUCAUACAUUUAUCGCCAAACACAUGGCGGGAGGGACAGUUUGCGAAGUAUGCAAAAGAACCCUCGCACGAAGGCUCGGUAAACAGGGCUACGAAUGCAGAGACUGUCAGAUGAAGUGUCACAAACAUUGUCACGUGAAAGUCGAUGCGAUGUGUCCCACAUCCACUAUUCAGAGCAUCGAGUUGUUGUACAUCAAGGUUCCGCCACUCGAACGAAAGCCUUCUAUGCUUCUGUGUUCGCGGUAACGCAGACGCGCGAUACGUUACAUUUCGGACAUGCGACUUAUUUUUUAACAUAACAAAAGAAAACGACGAUUGUAAUCCACUUGUAAAACUUUCAUGCCUUUCACAUUUUCGUUGCUCACAUUUCCGAGUCGAAGAGAGAUCAUUUCAGCUAUCAAUAUUCUGUCAAUAUUCUGCAAAUACAAUUUUACAAAGAUGGAACGUUUGCAUUCACACAAAUGGAAUUAGAUCUUAAUGUGAAAGUUCAUUGAAUUUUAUUUCAUUUAAUAUACGUUUUAAUACACUGAUAUUUUGCAUUGAUCGUUACGUUUUUUACGUGAUAAUAAUGAAGUCGAUCUCGAAAGUAGAAUUUUAAACAUACGCUAUAAUACGCGUCAAAUUUACCAAACAUCUCCGUCAUCUACAUAUAUCUUUUUUCUAGCUGUCUUGUUCCAAUAAUAUGGUAAUGAUGUAAGUUUACACACUAUUGAUCAUUGAUCAUCGAAUUAUUGAGCAUCUAAUUUCGUCCGGGGAAAGAGUCUAAUUCGGCUGCCUUCUUAUUAAAAUAUGCUAUAAAAAAAGUAUGUGAAAUUACAUGAGCAACAAGUGUAAAAAUUGUGCGCUUUAACGGAAAUGUGUAUGUAUACAUUUGGGUAUAUGCAAGGUUGGGAACGUUACCUUAAAAAACUAACGCGUUACCGUUACCGUUACUUUUUGUAAAAAGUAACUCGUUACCAUUACUCGUUACUGAUUUUAAAAAGUAACGCGUUACCGUUACCGUUACUUAGAAAGUAACGAUUCGUUACCUUUUUCGUUACUUUGUUGAAAUGCUGAAGUAAGAUGUUAAUUGUAAUAUUACAUUAUUAUUAUUAUUUAAUAAUCAAUAUUAAAACUUAAAACUUUAAACUAGUUUCUAUAUAGCAAGUCAUCGAGCAUACAGAAUUUUCGUAUACGUUUCUUCUUCGAAUGAAUUCAAGAAUCGGGCCCCAGAAUCAAGACAUCGAUAAAUGUUUACAGCGCAUUCUCAUGUGACAUUGACUUCCAGCGCCCAAUAUCGGAAUAUUUUUGUCCAAUCAAGAAUAGUGCGCGCGACCAGCUCACAAUCUAUUGAACAGAUAUAAAAGAUAAUAGGGAACUAAAGUAACGAUAAAAGUAACGGCUGAAUUCGUUACCGUUACUGUAAAAAUGUAACGACGUUACCGUUACCGUUACAGACAUAAAAAAGUAACGAUCGUUACCGAAAAAAAGUAACGAAAAUGGUAACGGCGUUACAAGUAACGCGUUACUUCCCAACCCUGGGUAUAUGCAAGUGUAGGUAUUCUGCAAACAACGAAUCAAUUGGAAUUCUAUUGUUCGCAGGAUGCGCGUCACGCGGCGUGCGGUAUGUGACGUGUACAGUUUGCCGACGACUGUGUAAAAUAAUUAAGUAACGAUAUUAAUGGUAAAUAAUACUAAUCACGAUAACAAUCCUUACGAUAGUAAUAACCAUGAGAGUAAAAUUAGUCAUAAUAACGAUAGCGGGGGAAGCAAUGGCAAAAAUGCGCCCCAGGUUAUUACACCUGAUUCUGCCAAAUUCAUUUAACCUUUUAAUUACGUUUAGCACAAACACUUUUCAAUCGUACCUGGAUAGUUUUGCUUUAAUGCAAUCUACGCGUUAUCAAAAAAAAGAGAAAAAGAAAAAGAAAAACGACGAGGCUGCUUUGUUUUGAUUACCGCGAUGAUUUCACGAUGACGAAAGGCAAGUCAUUUUAAUAAAAAAAUGUAUUGCAGAUCCAAGUACAUAUUUGAAUACAUAAGUAAACGUUAAUGGUGCAAUUCAAUCGAUGAUAUUAGAAAUUUUAUCCAAUGCCGGUUUAUAUUUCUCACACCUUCUCUCGUAUAUAAAAAGAUAAAGCUAUCCAACUUGUUAAAAAUAUGUUACGAAUAUAUGAAGAUAUAGUGGAUUGCUAAUAACACGUUGUUCUCAAUCUAUUGUAAAUUAUAUUCAAAUUCUUUCCAUUUGGUGCAUUUUUUAAAUUAUCGAAAUAAUUAAGCCUGGGUAAUUAAAAGUUUUUAGAGUUUCAGCAAUUUCCCAUGAUGUACUUUGUGCAAACAAACGACGCGAGAGGCGAAUCAGAAAAAAAAAACAUUAAUUUACUACGAUGAGAUUAUAUGCUUAGAUUUAUACAUCUCGCUAUAACGAACAUUGUCAAAGUACAAAAUGCAAUCAAAAUGCAAAGAGAAAUCAACAUCAAACUUAGGCACGUUAACAGUAUGUCGAUAUACAUAUAGCGAUAUAUUUACACAUAGAAAUGUGACCUUAUUGUUAGAAAGUAAUACUAACUUUUGGCGAAAAGUUUAACGAUGAAAGCGAACAUGAAUUUUUUCCCUUAUUGUAUUUUUGUAUCUACAUUCGAAAGAAGGUAUACGCAGCGUCGUAAUUUCACCGAUAAUCUAUAUAAUCAGAAUUAAGCUACUAGCAAACCCCACCGACGAGUCUCGUAGUCGGCUAAUGACGAAGAAAUUGGUGGUAAAAGCAGCAAUUAUACAAAUACGAUCGAAAGAUAUGCAUCGUAUAAAUGGAAUUCAAUUUUUCCUGUAUAUACAGGCUGUGAAAUAUACUAUUAGCAGAUUUAUGAUUUCACGCGUGGGUUCUAUCCACUCGUGGGCGAAUCUAACUUUUGAGUUUAGAAAAGUAAUAUUCUAUACAUUUGCAUUCAUUGUACAAUGUUUUUUAUUUGAAGAAUUAAUAUUGAAGACACAACUAUUAUUUAACACGUGACAAUUUAAUUUUAUUAAUUUAACAUGCCACAAUACGAGAGAGAAAGAGACAGAGAUUAAAUUGAUAAAGAACGUGUAUUUUUAUAUAUAAUAUAUCUUCAAUAUUCCACAAAUGCGAGAAAUCUCAAUAAUUCUUUACUACUAUAUAUCGAGAGUAAAAUUAGAAGGAAAUAUACGCACACACGUAUCUCAUGUAUAAAAGUUUCCCUUUCCAUCGAGGCUCAUCUUUCUUCUUCUCCCUGUGGAUUUGUCAGCUAUUUAUUAGAAAGCCAGCCAUUACAGCUUUACAAUCAGCAGUUACUAAUAAUUACUAGAGCUAACUUAAACUUGACACCACGUGUCAAUUUUUAUACAAAUAACGAAUAUCGUUUGAAAGCAUAGUUGAGCGUGCGUAAUCGAAAGUACAAUGACCCUGACUUUGCAAAGCAAUUAAUUAAAUCGUAUUAAGACAAUUAUAUACGAUGGAUAAACUUGUUCUCGCUGGCGCUCGGCAAUACGCACAUCUUCUUUCCUAUCCUUUACCGCGUUUAUUUACCAAAGACCAUCAGUCGCGUAUCGUAUACUUAUCCAAGUGUCGAAAUAAUUGUCAAGCAUUGAUAUAUAAGCGACAACGAUUGUGCCUAUGAUGUGAUGUUGUUGUAUAAUAAUAACAAUAAUAAUAAUGUUGUACACUCUUUUCAGACACAAUAGAAAAUCUAUUUAUGGACGAGAUUUCCAAUUGUUCCGCAAAAGCUUCUGACUCUCAAUCCAACAUCGAUCAUAUCCUCGUGUACAGAACUAGAUUUAGACCAUGUGAGGAAGCGAGGGGCAAACACAAAUGAGCGACUUGAAUAUCGUAGCGCCGCGCAAUUCAUCUCCGUCGAAGUCAUUUGUUUGCUCAUUCUUGUUUGUUCGCGCUCCUUCACUUGAUCCAAAUCAGAUUUUAACACGAUACGAAGCAAUUAUGACGAUGUUGUUAUUAUGCAUUGCCGAUUUAUAUUAUAUAAUAAUACAAUUAUAAUUAUAUUAUACAUACAAUAUAUACAUAUAUAAAUAACGUUACUAUUAAUAAAUUACAGUGGAUGACGAUAAGAAGAUAAUUGUAUAACUUAAUGUUACAGAAAGUAAUAUAUUGUGAUUCUA